UACGUAGGAGGCGAGCGUUGUCCGGAGUUACUGGGCGUAAAGGGUGCGUAGGCGGCCUGACAAGUCUGAUGUGAAAUCCCUGGGCUCAACCCAGGGCCUGCAUCGGAAACUGUCGGGCUUGAGUAUGGGAGAGGUGAGUGGAAUUUCCGGUGUAGCGGUGAAAUGCGUAGAUAUCGGAAGGAACACCUGUGGCGAAAGCGGCUCACUGGACCAUUACUGACGCUGAGGCACGAAAGCUAGGGGAGCAAACAGG
rnacentral:rRNA from 1 species